GCUAACUCUGUGCCAGCAGCCGCGGUAAUACAGAGAGUGCAAGCGUUAAUCGGAAUUACUGGGCGUAAAGCGCACGUAGGUGGAUGUUUAAGUCGGAUGUGAAAGCCCUGGGCUUAACCUAGGAAUUGCAUUCGAUACUGGGCGUCUAGAGUAUAGUAGAGGGAAGUGGAAUUUCCGGUGUAGCGGUGAAAUGCGUAGAUAUCGGAAGGAACAUCAGUGGCGAAAGCGGCUUCCUGGACUAAUACUGACACUUAGGUGCGAAAGCGUGGGGAGCAAACAGGAUUAGAUACCCGUGUAGUC
rnacentral:rRNA from 1 species